rnacentral:rRNA from 1 species
GAUGAACGCUGGCGGCGUGCCUAAUACAUGCAAGUCGAGCGAACGGACGAGAAGCUUGCUUCUCUGAAGUUAGCGGCGGACGGGUGAGUAACACGUGGAUAACCUACCUAUAAGACUGGGAUAACUUCGGGAAACCGGAGCUAAUACCGGAUAAUAUAUUGAACCGCAUGGUUCAAUAGUGAAAGACGGUUUUGCUGUCACUUAUAGAUGGAUCCGCGCUGCAUUAGCUAGUUGGUAAGGUAACGGCUUACCAAGGCAACGAUGCGUAGCCGACCUGAGAGGGUGAUCGGCCACACUGGAACUGAGACACGGUCCAGACUCCUACGGGAGGCAGCAGUAGGGAAUCUUCCGCAAUGGGCGAAAGCCUGACGGAGCAACGCCGCGUGAGUGAUGAAGGUCUUCGGAUCGUAAAACUCUGUUAUUAGGGAAGAACAUAUGUGUAAGUAACUGUGCACGUCUUGACGGUACCUAAUCAGAAAGCCACGGCUAACUACGUG